rnacentral:rRNA from 1 species
UACGAAGGGGGCUAGCGUUGCUCGGAAUCACUGGGCGUAAAGCGCACGUAGGCGGAUUGCUAAGUCAGGGGUGAAAUCCUGGAGCUCAACUCCAGAACUGCCUUUGAUACUGGCGACCUUGAGUUCGGGAGAGGUGAGUGGAACUGCGAGUGUAGAGGUGAAAUUCGUAGAUAUUCGCAAGAACACCAGUGGCGAAGGCGGCUCACUGGCCCGAUACUGACGCUGAGGCACGAAAGCGUGGGGAGCAAACAGG